AACUUGAUAUACUGUAUUAUUAAUGUGUUUUUAUGUCAUAAAUUUAUCAAGAUCGGUCAUGGAAAUCCAGCAAAGAAAGAGAAGGCGGACUGACAAGCCACACAAAACUGUGGCAACUGUUGACCAACCCCUGAACAUACAGGAGGCAUGUAUUUGUUAUUACUCAAUUUAUAAAAUGCAAGGGAAUCAUUAUAACCACAAGAAGUUCAGAUUAUGUUUUGUUCAUGUAUAGCUUCCUCCGCUGGUCCUUUGUGAAAUCUUACUGGAGGUUGUGCUUCAAGAUGGUGAUGUUGCAAUUGGCUCCCUUGCCCUCACCUGCAGGUGCUUCAACAGCAUUGUGAGCAUGGAAAGUUUCCGCCGAGAGGCUCACUUUCGGUGGUUGGACAGUGUCGUGAACUGGAAGGCAUUCAGUGAAAAUGUCAGAAACCUGUAUAGGGUUCCAUACAGUCUAUCCAGAUGUCUCCAUUUUGAUACUACAUACAAAGACUGUGGCGAAGGCUACAGAGGAAGAGGGCAAAGAGGUGUGUUGCAGGGGUUCUAUGGCUCUGAUGACUCCCCAGGAUACUGCGGAGACUGUUUCUAUGUGGCUGGAGGAAGCAUCUAAUGUUUCAUGCAAUGUGUUCCUCAUGUUUGAACUUGCCACAUUUAUUGCUUAUUUUAUUUUAUUGGAUGCU